rnacentral:rRNA from 1 species
UACGAAGGGUGCAAACGUUGCUCGGAAUUAUUGGGCGUAAAGCGCACGUAGGCGGCUUAGCAAGUUGGAUGUGAAAUCCCUCGGCUCAACCAAGGAAGUGCAUCCAAAACUGCUGAGCUUGAGUACUUAAGAGGAUCGCGGAAUUCCCGGUGUAGAGGUGAAAUUCGUAGAUAUCGGGAGGAACACCGGUGGCGAAAGCGCCUUGCUGGGUCUGCACUGACACUGAGGGACGAAAGCUAGGGGAGCGAAAGGG